rnacentral:lncRNA from 1 species
AGAAACAAAAAGUAAACUAAAGAAAUAAAAAUAAAAGGGAAAGGAACACUAUCAAUACAAGAGUUGAUCAAAGCUAAAGAAAAUAUAACGAAUAAAAGAAAUAAUAAAAGGGAGAGGGAUACAUUAUCAAUACAUAAUGUGUGAGCAAUUAAAGAAAAUAAAAGAAAAUACAAAAAAUAAAAUAAAUAAAGCAUAAAAAAAUAAUAAAAAGGAUGGGGAUGCACUAUCAACACAUGAGUAAGAAUAAAUAGCAUAAAAAUAGAGGGAGAUGCAUUAUCAAUACAAGAGUAAAAUAAAACAAAUAAAGCAUAAAAAA